rnacentral:rRNA from 1 species
GACGAACGCUGGCGGCGUGCCUAAUACAUGCAAGUUGAGCGCUGAAGGUUGGUACUUGUACCAACUGGAUGAGCAGCGAACGGGUGAGUAACGCGUGGGGAAUCUGCCUUUGAGCGGGGGACAACAUUUGGAAACGAAUGCUAAUACCGCAUAAAAACUUUAAACACAAGUUUUAAGUUUGAAAGAUGCAAUUGCAUCACUCAAAGAUGAUCCCGCGUUGUAUUAGCUAGUUGGUGAGGUAAAGGCUCACCAAGGCGAUGAUACAUAGCCGACCUGAGAGGGUGAUCGGCCGCAUUGGGACUGAGACACGGCCCAAACGCCUACGGGAGGCAGCAGUAGGGAAUCUUCGGCAAUGAACGAAAGUCUGACCGAGCAACGCCGCGUGAGUGAAGAAGGUUGUCGGGUCGUAAAACUCUGUUGGUAGAGAAGAACGUUGGUGAGAGUGGAAAGCUCAGCAAGUGACGGUAACUACCCAGAAAGGGACGGCUAACUACGUG